GGUUAAGCGACUAAGCGUACACGGUGGAUGCCCUGGCAGUCAGAGGCGAUGAAGGACGUGCUAAUCUGCGAUAAGCGUCGGUAAGGUGAUAUGAACCGUUAUAACCGGCGAUUUCCGAAUGGGGAAACCCAGUGUGUUUCGACACACUAUCAUUAACUGAAUCCAUAGGUUAAUGAGGCGAACCGGGGAACUGAAACAUCUAAGUACCCCGAGGAAAAGAAAUCAACCGAGAUUCCCCCAGUAGCGGCGAGCGAACGGGGAGCAGCCCAGAGCCUGAAUCAGUGUGUGUGUUAGUGGAAGCGUCUGGAAAGGCGCGCGAUACAGGGUGACAGCCCCGUACACAAAAAUGCACAUGCUGUGAGCUCGAUGAGUAGGGCGGGACACGUGGUAUCCUGUCUGAAUAUGGGGGACCAUCCUCCAAGGCUAAAUACUCCUGACUGACCGAUAGUGAACCAGUACCGUGAGGGAAAGGCGAAAAGAACCCCGGCGAGGGGAGUGAAAAAGAACCUGAAACCGUGUACGUACAAGCAGUGGGAGCACGCUUAGGCGUGUGACUGCGUACCUUUGUAUAAUGGGUCAGCGACUUAUAUUCUGUAGCAAGGUUAACCGAAUAGGGGAGCCGAAGGGAAACCGAGUCUUAACUGGGCGUUAAGUUGCAGGGUAUAGACCCGAAACCCGGUGAUCUAGCCAUGGGCAGGUUGAAGGUUGGGUAACACUAACUGGAGGACCGAACCGACUAAUGUUGAAAAAUUAGCGGAUGACUUGUGGCUGGGGGUGAAAGGCCAAUCAAACCGGGAGAUAGCUGGUUCUCCCCGAAAGCUAUUUAGGUAGCGCCUCGUGAAUUCAUCUCCGGGGGUAGAGCACUGUUUCGGCAAGGGGGUCAUCCCGACUUACCAACCCGAUGCAAACUGCGAAUACCGGAGAAUGUUAUCACGGGAGACACACGGCGGGUGCUAACGUCCGUCGUGAAGAGGGAAACAACCCAGACCGCCAGCUAAGGUCCCAAAGUCAUGGUUAAGUGGGAAACGAUGUGGGAAGGCCCAGACAGCCAGGAUGUUGGCUUAGAAGCAGCCAUCAUUUAAAGAAAGCGUAAUAGCUCACUGGUCGAGUCGGCCUGCGCGGAAGAUGUAACGGGGCUAAACCAUGCACCGAAGCUGCGGCAGCGACGCUGAUGCGUUGUUGGGUAGGGGAGCGUUCUGUAAGCCUGCGAAGGUGUGCUGUGAGGCAUGCUGGAGGUAUCAGAAGUGCGAAUGCUGACAUAAGUAACGAUAAAGCGGGUGAAAAGCCCGCUCGCCGGAAGACCAAGGGUUCCUGUCCAACGUUAAUCGGGGCAGGGUGAGUCGACCCCUAAGGCGAGGCCGAAAGGCGUAGUCGAUGGGAAACAGGUUAAUAUUCCUGUACUUGGUGUUACUGCGAAGGGGGACGGAGAAGGCUAUGUUGGUAGGGCGACGGUUGUCCCGGUUUAAGCGUGUAGGCUGGUUUUCCAGGCAAAUCCGGAAAAUCAAGGCUGAGGCGUGAUGACGAGGCACUACGGUGCUGAAGCAACAAAUGCCCUGCUUCCAGGAAAAGCCUCUAAGCAUCAGGUAACAUCAAAUCGUACCCCAAACCGACACAGGUGGUCAGGUAGAGAAUACCAAGGCGCUUGAGAGAACUCGGGUGAAGGAACUAGGCAAAAUGGUGCCGUAACUUCGGGAGAAGGCACGCUGAUAUGUAGGUGAAGUCCCUUGCGGAUGGAGCUGAAAUCAGUCGAAGAUACCAGCUGGCUGCAACUGUUUAUUAAAAACACAGCACUGUGCAAACACGAAAGUGGACGUAUACGGUGUGACGCCUGCCCGGUGCCGGAAGGUUAAUUGAUGGGGUUAGCGCAAGCGAAGCUCUUGAUCGAAGCCCCGGUAAACGGCGGUACGUAACUAUAACGGUCCUAAGGUAGCGAAAUUCCUUGUCGGGUAAGUUCCGACCUGCACGAAUGGCGUAAUGAUGGUCAGGGCUGUCUCCACCCGAGACUCAGUGAAAUUGAACUCGCUGUGAAGAUGCAGUGUACCCGCGGCAAGACGGAAAGACCCCGUGAACCUUUACUAUAGCUUGACACUGAACAUUGAGCCUUGAUGUGUAGGAUAGGUGGGAGGCUUUGAAGUGUGGACGCCAGUCUGCAUGGAGCCGACCUUGAAAUACCACCCUUUAAUGUUUGAUGUUCUAACGUGGACCCGUGAUCCGGGUUGCGGACAGUGUCUGGUGGGUAGUUUGACUGGGGCGGUCUCCUCCUAAAGAGUAACGGAGGAGCACGAAGGUUGGCUAAUCCUGGUCGGACAUCAGGAGGUUAGUGCAAUGGCAUAAGCCAGCUUGACUGCGAGCGUGACGGCGCGAGCAGGUGCGAAAGCAGGUCAUAGUGAUCCGGUGGUUCUGAAUGGAAGGGCCAUCGCUCAACGGAUAAAAGGUACUCCGGGGAUAACAGGCUGAUACCGCCCAAGAGUUCAUAUCGACGGCGGUGUUUGGCACCUCGAUGUCGGCUCAUCACAUCCUGGGGCUGAAGUAGGUCCCAAGGGUAUGGCUGUUCGCCAUUUAAAGUGGUACGCGAGCUGGGUUUAGAACGUCGUGAGACAGUUCGGUCCCUAUCUGCCGUGGGCGCUGGAGAACUGAGGGGGCUGCUCCUAGUACGAGAGGACCGGAGUGGACGCAUCACUGGUGUUCGGGUUGUCAUGCCAAUGGCACUGCCCGGUAGCUAAAUGCGGAAGAGAUAAGUGCUGAAAGCAUCUAAGCACGAAACUUGCCCCGAGAUGAGUUCUCCCUGACUCCUUGAGAGUCCUGAAGGAACGUUGAAGACGACGACGUUGAUAGGCCGGGUGUGUAAGCGCAGCGAUGCGUUGAGCUAACCGGUACUAAUGAACCGUGAGGCUUAACCUU
rnacentral:rRNA from 1 species